AGUGGACGCUGGCGGUAGGCCUAACACAUGCAAGUCGAACGGCAGCACAGUAAGAGCUUGCUCUUACGGGUGGCGAGUGGCGGACGGGUGAGGAAUACAUCGGAAUCUACUUUUUCGUGGGGGAUAACGUAGGGAAACUUACGCUAAUACCGCAUACGACCUACGGGUGAAAGCAGGGGAUCUUCGGACCUUGCGCGAUUGAAUGAGCCGAUGCCGGAUUAGCUAGUUGGCGGGGUAAAGGCCCACCAAGGCGACGAUCCGCAGCUGGUCUGAGAGGAUGAUCAGCCACACUGGAACUGAGACACGGUCCAGACUCCUACGGGAGGCAGCAGUGGGGAAUAUUGGACAAUGGGCGCAAGCCUGAUCCAGCCAUACCGCGUGGGUGAAGAAGGCCUUCGGGUUGUAAAGCCCUUUUGUUGGGAAAGAAAAGCAGCAGGUUAAUACCCCGCUGUUCUGACGGUACCCAAAGAAUAAGCACCGGCUAACUUCGUG
rnacentral:rRNA from 1 species